rnacentral:snRNA from 1 species
AUCGCUUCUCGGCCUUUUGGCUAAGAUCAAGUGUAGUAUCUGUGUUCCCUAUAUUUGUGUUAAUAUAUCCAUGUAGGGGCACAUACA